AGUUCCGAGUGUCGCGCGAAUGUCUCAUUCACAACAUCCGUGAAUUAUGUCACACCUACAAUAAACUGUGAUCAUCUAUCGAUAUGGGGUGUUUUAGCAAUGAGAGAACUUUAGUCAGCCCCUGUGUGAAAUAUACUCUAUUUUUCUUCAAUUUUGCAUGCUGGUUGAUUGGUGGAGUCGUGAUAGGUAUAGGAGUGUGGGCAUUCAUCGAAAAGAACCGAUACUACCAGAAAGACAUCUCCACUGUCUAUGAUGUCAUCUUCGAUCUUUCUAUCAUCUUUUUUAUCAUUGGAACCAUCAUCUUCAUAUUGGGGUAUGCAGGAUGUAUAGGGGCUCUCAGGGAAAAUGUCUGUCUACUCAAAAUUUAUUACUAUUCUAUGAUCAUCAUUUUCCUGGUCGUGGUGGUGGGCAUUGUCCUAGCAUUUGUAUUCAGGGACAAGGUCAAGGAGGAAGUGACUAAGGUUUUACAGGAGAACCUUAUUACCACAUACCAGGAUGAUCCAGACAAACAAAGCACCAUUGAUUGGAUACAAGAAAAUAUUGAGUGCUGUGGAGUGAAGCAGUAUGAUGACUGGAGUAAGAAUGAGUAUUAUAACUGUACUGGAGAGGGGCUGGGUAACCCCAGUCCCCUGGCCUGCAGUGUGCCGUAUUCGUGCUGUAGGAAACAGGACUCAAUAUCAACUGGUCUUCCAAAUAUUCUUUGUGGAAAAGAUGUCCUAAAGAUGGGUGGAGAUUUGUCCCUGAUUUACACUGUAGGCUGUGUAGAUUCAUUUCUCAUUCUGGCAGAGACCCAGCUCCCUAUUGUUGGAGGAAUAGUGAUAGGGAUUGCUGUUCCACUGCUGAUUGCUAUAUGCCUCUCAAGGCUGUUGGAAGGACAGAUUUUAGACCAGAUGAGCCAUUGGAGGUAGGGGCAAGAGGUGCAGUCAACAGAUGAAAAGUCAACAAAAAGAUAUCAACAAUAUAACAGCCCCUCCUGCUUAAAGUUCUUCAAAUCAUUCACCUGUACAUUCAUCUUAAUGCAUGUACCAUUUUCAUUGAUGCCAAACAAACUCCAAUAUGAAAUAAAUGGAGAAGCAUGCUGUUUAUUGGACUAGAAAUCAUAUCCUUUUUUCAGUAAUCCACUAGUGCAUACAAAUAGUGACCCAAAUGUAGCAAGGAAAGCGUGAGUAUGAAAUCUGCAUUUGCAAGUAAAUAAUGUUUACACAGGAUCACUGUCUAAUCACUAUUUGGUAAUGCCAUUUCUGUAAACAACUGUAAUUAGCGUUGUUGAUUUUCUAAAAUAAACAGUGCAAUUACUAUUAAAUUUAUUUUUGGAGAAAGAUAGGUCUAAAUUAUGAUACAAUUAAGUAUCAUUGACAACUAGGCCUACUGUCACGGGUGCAUUUCGAAAAGAAAAAAAAUAAUAAAAAUGAUCAAACUUAUAGUGAAAAUCACAAUACUUUUAAAUUAUUUUAUUCAAGUAAUUUUAUUAAUCAUUAUAUUUUUCUUAUCUACACGUUGUUAGUUAGGACGUGGGAGCGCGGCGUGCUGUUGUUGUUACGUACGUGUUCCUUAAAAAAAUGAAAGCAUUAUAAUUCGAUCAAUUCAAAGUUGGGAAAUAUCAUAUUUUAUUAUCUAUAAUUGAAAGUUCAAUUAUCUUUUAUCUUUAAAUUUCUUUUUUAAAACUACAGUUGGUAGACACUGCUAGCACAAGUUCUGCCUAUAUGUUGUUACAAGGUGAAGGUCAGUUGGUACGAGUGUGUAUUAAAUUUCAGAGCAGAACGGAAAGCAUAUGCCGUAGGCCUAUAUGUAACUGUGCGUAGCUUCGAUAGAACCAUUUUCUCGCAGUUUUUCUACGUCUUUGUCCAAGUGCUUGUUUGAAAAAGUACAGGGACAAAUUCUACUGGGGGUUUUUAUGGCAAAGUCGUUGUGCCGACAAAAAUAUUCAUGUCUUGUCCCUCAUACCUUCUUUUGAAAAUUGAAGAAAAAAAACAGUCCAAAUCCUCCCUACUGACAGGAAGUACACCCUUAAACGGCACAAAACACCCUAAUGCAGUGUUAUUAUUUACAAGCCGUUAAUGUGAUACUUGUUUGUUUGUCAAUUAAAUCUAAUCUGUUUAUGAAAUGGCUAACAACUGUUUUCAAAUCUUCUCGCUCGAGGUCGCAUAUGACGUCACAGAUAAUGUCGCAUAAAAUAUCGAAGAAAAUAUGCAUAUCGCAAGAUUUGAAUUUCAUCGCUUUCAAACUCGAAACUACGCAAACUGUUUCAUUUAAAACACAUGUAAAGUAGUUUUAGGCAUGAAAUGAAAUAAUUUUGCUGAAAAAAUUAAAAAGUUUAGAAACAAGUGAUGUGUCCUUUAAGAAGCAUAUAUACAUACAUGAUAAGUAUUGGUGAAAUGUUUAUUGGCACCAAUUUUUUUGCCCCCAUAUCAUCAGAUAGGACAUAUUAUGUUAUGAUGCUGGCUGGCUGUCAGAGGUCAUGUUUUCUGGACUUUUUUGUGUAACAGAUGCAUGUAGCUUUUAAAUAUGGUUACAACUUUUCCCUUCAAAAGUGUUUGCAUUUCUGCUCGAUUGGUGCACUGUGACCUACUUUACGGCUAAAAGUAGUUCAAACAGUUUUCCAGACUUUUUUUCAUCAUGGAUACAGAUAUUGCCUUGAAAUUUCAUCACGUCAAGCUUCCUCACAGAGGAAUACAAGUUCAGUUUGCAUUUCAGUUGGAUUGGUGCACCAUAACCUACUUUCCUCGAAUUUUUCUCAUAAUGGAUACAGAUAUCGCAACCUCCCUCAGAGAAAUGCAUAUUCAGUUUACAUUUCAGAUAGAUUGGUGCAUGGCCACGACCUACAUCAAGGCUUUUCUAUUGAGAAUGUAUGAUAUCAAUUCAAAGUGCAUAAUAUGCUUAUAGGCUGAACUUCACUGUCCGACGGGCAGAUGUUGUACCAUUUGUGGCCCAUGUUUCAGACAAUAUGAAAAUAUUAAAAUCACAUAUAAAUAGAAUGCAUUCAAUUAUCUAAUAGUCAUUUUGAUCAAACUAAGAGGAAACAUUGCAUCUUGCUUACGUUUUAAGUUUAGAUAAGUGUGAUGACAGAUAGAAUUUACUGAUCAGAAUCAUGUAAGAUGUAUGACAUUUCAAUGCUGUGAACCUCAUUUUAUGGACCAUAUUAUGAAUAUGUGACAAAUAUUGUGUUGCUUACCUUGUUUCUACAGAACAUCUGUAAUGGACUAUGCACUUUUUAGUUAAGAACAGAGAUUACCAGAUAUUCUCCUCAAUUUUGAAAGAGAUUAUCAAACUGUUCCUUUUGAUGCAGCUUAUUGAAAGUUUACAUUUAAAUGUAUAGAGUGACUAGUUGAUUGUGCUGUUAUUUGUCCUCAAGGAAGAUCAGUUCUACAUUCCUUCUUUUGUAAUUUUUGUUACAAUGUAUCUAAGUGUAAGCUGGGUCGGCAUCCUAGAUUAAACGUGAAUGUUUAUUGUGAUCUGUUACAUAUUUCAUUUUCCAAUUGUCAGACUUGAAACUCUUCCUGUUUCUCAACAUGUGUAGAUCUACAUGUAUCUGUGCAGCAUCUUGUAUAUGAUUUUUUUUAUUUUAACAGAUUUGACUUUUUUGCAUGUACCAUAUUUGAAACGGUAAAUCGUUUUCUGGGUAUCUCAGAUUUACAUUUUUUAUUAGUUUUGUACAUUGGUCUCUCUUUUUUUCAUCUUGCAGUUGAAACAAAAUUUUAAAAACAAAUAUGUGCAUUGCCUUUUAUGCUCCCUGAAAGUUUUUCAAGGGGGGGGGGGGAUUUAAUGGUCAUAGUGUUCAUCUGUCCUAAGCCUUUCAUCAGAAAUUGAUCAUAAUUGAUCACAAAUAUUCCUUGGGACGGGAACUUUUUGACCAAGGUUAUUUUUGAAAGGUCAAGGUCACUCAGAACAUAUACCUUAUAUAAUAAAAAAAAUUCCUUAUUUCAACAGAUUAAGAUCUCUCAGAACUUACAGUGUAUACCUUAACAGAUUAAGACUGAUUCUAUGUAACUAUCAAAAUUCAGUGGCCACGGUAUGUCACAGAUUUUGAUGAAAUUAAAAGAUCUCUCAGAACAUAUACCUGAAGUUAUGUAUGAAAAUAAUCUUCAUUUCAGCGGUUGUUGAUCUUUUGGACCAAUGUCUCUCAUGGUCAGUUUGGAAAGGGAAAGGUCAUUCAGAACAUAUACCUUAUAUAUGAAACAAAAGCUUCAUUUCAACAAUGUUUCAACAGUUAUUGUGCGUGUCCUUUGUCAUAUGAAGCAGUUUAUUGGUUAGAUGCACCUCGGGCAGCAUUCAUCAGUUUCACUGAUAGUCUUGUUUUUAUUUUCUAAUAUAUUUAUUUCUACAAAAAAUUGCAGGUUCUAAAAAUAUUUUAACAGAUGUAAUAUUGUGUGUACAUAUUAUAUUUUUAAUCAGAAUUUUUAUGAAUUUUUUAGUACAAUGUACAGUUAAAACAGAAUACAAUUCGUCUGGAUGUGUCUAUGUCUAUGUCAAUCACGUCAAUCUCAAGAUUAGGAUUAAAAUCCAAAAUUUAGAGAUGCGAAUUUCUGAUGGGAAAAGCUUUCACUGUGUAAAAUAUUGGCAUGUAUGCAUAAUUAAUGACUGGUUGUUUGUCUCAUACAGAUUAAAGUGGGUAAAUAGUCAUUGUAGAAAAUGGAGUUCAGUUUCAUCUUGGAAUUCUAAGGAAGGAGAUAAUCUCAGCUAGUAGGAAAAUUCAGAAAGCAGGUGUAUUAAGGAAUAAUUGUAAUUACGGACUUGUUUUUUCAUUGAUAAAAUCUUCCUAUAAACUAGCUUUUUGUAUAGUCAAACUGCAGGUUUCAGUUUAAUUUUGAUCUUUAGUAUUAGAAUUUCCAUGCUAUGACUGGCUUUUGAAACCAGCAAGAAUAUUUUACGUAUUUACAUCUACAUGUAUGUAUUUUUCCAAUAAUCAUUUAUUUAUUAUAAUAAAAUUGUGUUGUAAACAGUUUUGAUACUAAAAACAAAAAUCUCA